AGCCAAGUGGAACCGAGUUUCUGCUUUGAAGCUCAGCAAAGAAGGGAAAUCCAUGGAGAGUAGUCUGUAAAGCUGCUGUGUGUAGAAGUGGCAUAGAGGGGCAAGAAGAGACAAAGGCUGCCUGGAGGAAGCUCCAGCAGGUACCUCAGGAAUUCCUGCCUGCCUAGCUCCUGUGUAAAGCUCUCUGCACCCUACCAUUGAGGAUUCCAAGGAGGUCAUAG